UGUACACCAAAUCGCUGAUCGAGGAAAGUAAGAAAGCAAUGGAACAAUCCGAUAAUGAUUCAAAUAUGAAUAAAAUCUUAAUGAUCCUUGAAAAAAUAGAUGUGCGGCAACAGAAAUUAGAGGAUAAGCUCUCCAAGAUAGAUGAAAUGAGUCACUCGCUUAGUCAAAUGUGCAACAAAAUCACCGAAAUUGAAACAUCGAUAUCAGAUUUAGUCAAAAGAAAUUCACUUAUUGAAAAAAGUGUGGAAGACAUAGGAGGGUUGCUUGACACUGUCGUUGAAAGGUAUACAAGCAAUAAAAAAGAAAUUGAGAAUAUGAAGAGAAGAAACACAGAAAUUGAAAGGCAAAUAGAAAAUGACAAUCUGAAAGAAAAUUUUAAACAAAUAGAACACAGCCUUCUUGACUUAAGGUGCAGAUCAAUGAAAAACAAUCUAAUUUUCUCAGGGC
rnacentral:lncRNA from 1 species